UACGAAGGGUGCUAGCGUUGUUCGGAAUUACUGGGCGUAAAGCGCACGUAGGCGGAUUUGUUAGUCAGGGGUGAAAUCCCGGGGCUCAACCUCGGAACUGCCUUUGAUACUGCAAGUCUUGAGUCCGGAAGAGGUGAGUGGAAUUCCUAGUGUAGAGGUGAAAUUCGUAGAUAUUAGGAGGAACACCAGUGGCGAAGGCGGCUCACUGGUCCGGUACUGACGCUGAGGUGCGAAAGCGUGGGGAGCAAACAGG
rnacentral:rRNA from 1 species